AGAGUUUGAUCCUGGCUCAGAUUGAACGCUGGCGGUAUGCUUAACACAUGCAAGUCGAACGGAAACGAAACUAGCUUGCUAGUAGGCGUCGAGUGGCGGACGGGUGAGUAACGCGUAGGAAUCUGCCUGAUAGUGGGGGAUAGCCCGAAGAAAUUCGGAUUAAUACCGCAUAAUCUAUUCGUAGUAAAGUGGGGGACUUUCGAGCCUCACGCUAUCAGAUGAGCCUGCGUAAGAUUAGCUUGUUGGUAGGGUAAAAGCCUACCAAGGCAACGAUCUUUAGCUGGUCUGAGAGGAUGAUCAGCCACAUCGGGACUGAGACACGGCCCGAACUCCUACGGGAGGCAGCAGUGGGGAAUAUUGGACAAUGGGGGCAACCCUGAUCCAGCAAUACCGCGUGUGUGAAGAAGGCCUGAGGGUUGUAAAGCACUUUCAAUUGUAAAGAAAAGUUAACGGUUAAUAACCGUUGACCUUGACGUUAACUUUAGAAGAAGCACCGGCUAACUCCGUGCCAGCAGCCGCGGUAAUACGGAGGGUGCAAGCGUUAAUCGGAAUUACUGGGCGUAAAGCGUGCGUAGGCGGUUUAUUAAGUCAGAUGUGAAAGCCCUGGGCUUAACCUGGGAACUGCAUUUGAAACUGGUCAACUAGAGUAUGGUAGAGGAAAGUGGAAUUUCUGGUGUAGCGGUGAAAUGCGUAGAUAUCAGAAGGAACAUCAAUGGCGAAGGCAGCUUUCUGGACCAAUACUGACGCUGAGGUACGAAAGCGUGGGUAGCAAACAGGAUUAGAUACCCUGGUAGUCCACGCCGUAAACGAUGAUAACUAGCCGUUGGGGGGAUUUACCCCUUAGUGGCGAAGCUAACGCGUUAAGUUAUCCGCCUGGGGAGUACGACCGCAAGGCUAAAACUCAAAGGAAUUGACGGGGACCCGCACAAGCGGUGGAGCAUGUGGUUUAAUUCGAUGCAACGCGAAGAACCUUACCUGGUCUUGACAUCCUGCGAACUUUCUAGAAAUAGAUUGGUGCCUUCGGGAACGCAGUGACAGGUGCUGCAUGGCUGUCGUCAGCUCGUGUCGUGAGAUGUUGGGUUAAGUCCCGUAACGAGCGCAACCCCUAUCACUAGUUGCCAGCACAUAAUGGUGGGGACUUUAGUGAGACUGCCGGUGACAAACCGGAGGAAGGUGGGGACGACGUCAAGUCAUCAUGGCCCUUAUGGGCAGGGCUACACACGUGCUACAAUGGCUAAUACAAAGGGACGCCAACCCGUGAGGGGGAGCCAAUCCAAUAAAAUUAGUCUCAGUCCGGAUCGAAGUCUGCAACUCGACUUCGUGAAGUUGGAAUCGCUAGUAAUCGCGUAUCAGCAAUGGCGCGGUGAAUACGUUCCCGGGUCUUGUACACACCGCCCGUCACACCAUGGAAGUUGGUUGCACCAGAAGUGAAUAGUCUAACCUUUGGGAGGGCGUUCACCACGGUGUGGUCAAUGACUAGGGUGAAGUCGUAACAAGGUAACC
rnacentral:rRNA from 1 species